rnacentral:lncRNA from 1 species
GUUUUUAAGUCUUUUAGCCUCUGUUUGGUUCGGGAUUAAAAAAAAAUUAGCUAUUUCAAAAAUAGAAUUAAGUUUAGGAUUAAAGUAGGGUUAAAAUUUUUUUGUAUUUGAUUGGGGGUUGGAGUUAGUCUAAAAUAAUAAAAAAUAGUGUUUGGUUGGAGUAGGUGGGAUAAGAAGAUAAUGAUUAAUAAAGAAGGAUAAUGAUUGGUUGGAGUAGGUGUGAUAAGAAAGAUAGUGGAUUAUUAUGAAUAGAAAAUAGUGUUUGA